AACGACUGCUAAUACCGCAUAAGCCCACGGCUCGGCAUCGAGCAGAGGGAAAAGGAGCAAUCCGCUUUGAGAUGGCCUCGCGUCCGAUUAGCUAGUUGGUGAGGUAACGGCCCACCAAGGCGACGAUCGGUAGCCGGACUGAGAGGUUGAACGGCCACAUUGGGACUGAGACACGGCCCAGACUCCUACGGGAGGCAGCAGUGGGGAAUAUUGCACAAUGGGGGAAACCCUGAUGCAGCGACGCCGCGUGGAGGAAGAAGGUCUUCGGAUUGUAAACUCCUGUUGUUGGGGAAGAUAAUGACGGUACCCAACAAGGAAGUGACGGCUAACUACGUGCCAGCAGCCGCGGUAAAACGUAGGUCACAAGCGUUGUCCGGAAUUACUGGGUGUAAAGGGAGCGCAGGCGGGAAGACAAGUUGGAAGUGAAAUCUAUGGGCUCAACCCAUAAACUGCUUUCAAAACUGUUUUUCUUGAGUAGUGCAGAGGUAGGCGGAAUUCCCGGUGUAGCGGUGGAAUGCGUAGAUAUCGGGAGGAACACCAGUGGCGAAGGCGGCCUACUGGGCACCAACUGACGCUGAGGCUCGAAAGUGUGGGUAGCAAACAGGAUUAGAUACCCUGGUAGUCCACACCGUAAACGAUGAUUACUAGGUGUUGGAGGAUUGACCCCUUCAGUGCCGCAGUUAACACAAUAAGUAAUCCACCUGGGGAGUACGACCGCAAGGUUGAAACUCAAAGGAAUUGACGGGGGCCCGCACAAGCAGUGGAGUAUGUGGUUUAAUUCGACGCAACGCGAAGAACCUUACCAAGUCUUGACAUCCCUUGACAGGCAUAGAAAUAUGUUUUCUCUUCGGAGCAAGGAGACAGGUGGUGCAUGGUUGUCGUCAGCUCGUGUCGUGAGAUGUUGGGUUAAGUCCCGCAACGAGCGCAACCCUUAUGGUCAGUUACUACGCAAGAGGACUCUGGCCAGACUGCCGUUGACAAAACGGAGGAAGGUGGGGAUGACGUCAAAUCAUCAUGCCCUUUAUGACUUGGGCUACACACGUACUACAAUGGCGUUAAACAAAGAGAAGCAAGACCGCGAGGUGGAGCAAAACUCAGAAACAACGUCCCAGUUCGGACUGCAGGCUGCAACUCGCCUGCACGAAGUCGGAAUUGCUAGUAAUCGUGGACCAGCAUGCCACGGUGAAUACGUUCCCGGGCCUUGUACACACCGCCCGUCACACCAUGAGAGCCGGGGGGACCCGAAGUCGGUAGUCUAACCGCAAGGAGGACGCCGCCGAAGGUAAAACUGGUGAUUGGGGUGAAGUCGUAACAAGGU
rnacentral:rRNA from 1 species